rnacentral:rRNA from 1 species
GAUAAACGCUAGCGGCAGGCUUAACACAUGCAAGUCGGGGGGCAGCAUAGAUUGUAGCAAUACAAUUGGUGGCGACCGGCGCACGGGUGCGUAACGCGUAUGCAACCUACCCGUCACGGGGGGAUAAUCCGGAGAAAUCUGGUCUAAUACCCCAUAACAUAUGGAUCGGCAUCGGUUCAUGUUGGAAUUUUCGGAGGUGACGGAUGGGCAUGCGUAGCAUUAGCUUGUUGGUGAGGUAACGGCUCACCAAGGCGACGAUGCUUAGGGGGACUGAGAGGUUUUCCCCCCACACUGGUACUGAGACACGGACCAGACUCCUACGGGAGGCAGCAGUGAGGAAUAUUGGUCAAUGGGCGCAAGCCUGAACCAGCCAUGCCGCGUGCAGGAUGACGGCUCUAUGAGUUGUAAACUGCUUUUGUACGAGGGUAAAGUGGGUUACGCGUAACCUUUUGAAAGUAUCGUACGAAUAAGGAUCGGCUAACUCCGUGCCAGCCGCCGCCGUAA